rnacentral:rRNA from 1 species
CCUACGGGGGGCAGCAGUGGGGAAUAUUGGGCAAUGGGCGCAAGCCUGACCCAGCAACGCCGCGUGAAGGAAGAAGGCUUUCGGGUUGUAAACUUCUUUUCUCAGGGACGAAUAGAUGACGGUACCUGAGGAAUAAGCCACGGCUAACUACGUGCCAGCAGCCGCGGUAAUACGUAGGUGGCAAGCGUUGUCCGGAAUUACUGGGUGUAAAGGGAGCGCAGGCGGGAAGCCAAGUCAGCUGUGAAAACUACGGGCUUAACUUGUA